rnacentral:sRNA from 1 species
UUCUACCUAGAUAGUAAAAUGGCCCUUGCAGAACUGUUACUGAUGAGAGAAAACAGGUAAGGAGACUGCAAGCAGACUUUGGGGAUCAUGUUUUUUGUAGUUCAGAGUUUUCCUCACCUCGGGCUAGUGGUACAGCACAUUCAUUGUUAUCCAGUGGAAAAAUCUAACUUGCUAGAAAUGAGAAAACUUCUAUAUAAAUAUUAGCACAGGUACCCUUGACUCCAAAAGAUCUGUUAUCACAUCUUAAUCCAAAGAGUCACUGGCAAAACAUAAUUAAUUCUUCAUCUAAUUUUAGUGCUCACAUGGAGUGGCCAAGAAGAAGUAGUGAGUCAUACCUCUCAAGUGCAGCUGUCCAACAGAGCCAUGGAACUGCUAAGAGUAAAAGGUCAAAGAUCCUGGUCUGUUGGACUAUCAGUAGCUGACAUGGUUGACAGUAUUGUAAACAAUAAGAAGAAAGUGCAUUCUGUAUCAACUUUAGCAAAGGGAUAUUAUGAUAUAAAUAGUGAAGUGUUUUUAAGUUUGCCUUGCAUCCUUGGAACCAAUGGAGUAUCUGAAGUUAUCAAAA